CCCGGAGCAAGGGGCCGAGGGCUGGCGGGCCAGGCGGCAUCUGAGCGCAGGCCCGAAGGAGGAGAGGAGGGUGGCAUGCGGACAUCCGUGGGCAAAGCAUCCGGGCAGCGGGAACAGCAUCGGUAGACACCCUGAGGGACGUUACCUAAUGCUUUCUCAUCACACUGUCGGGGAUGUUAAAUUGACGACAAACUUGCUUAUCAAUUCCCUGAAAAUUGUUUUCUGAGGGAUUGGUCCUCAGACCUACGCUGUGGAUACGACGAGCUGUCAGAAUUGUGCCAGCCCCUUCACCUGGGAUGUGGUGUUUUCCAAACUGCAGUUUGUAAUCUACGAAUUGGUUGAAAACUCAGUUCAGUUCUGGUGCAGACGUUCGAAAAGCCACUAUGCUAAUGGAAACAUGAAUCAAGUGUAUGUAGUUUAAAAGUUAUUUUCCUCACGUGUGCUGACACAUCUGUCUCGUGUGCCCUGCCCGUUGGAAUUUCCACCCACUCUGGGGUGAAAUACUCAAAAUUAGUAGCAUCUGGGUUAAUGAGGUUUGUUAUAUUCAAAAAAUAAACGAUGGUGCGGUUCACCUUG